rnacentral:rRNA from 1 species
CCUACGGGAGGCAGCAGUGGGGAAUCUUGCACAAUGGAGGAAACUCUGAUGCAGCGAUGCCGCGUGAGUGAAGAAGGCCUUUGGGUUGUAAAGCUCUUUCGUCGGGGAAGAAAAUGACUGUACCCGAAUAAGAAGGUCCGGCUAACUUCGUGCCAGCAGCCGCGGUAAUACGAAGGGACCUAGCGUAGUUCGGAAUUACUGGGCUUAAAGAGUUCGUAGGUGGUUGAAAAAGUUGGUGGUGAAAUCCCAGAGCUUAACUCUGGAACUGCCAUCAAAACUUUUCAGCUAGAGUAUGAUAGAGGAAAGCAGAAUUUCUAGUGUAGAGGUGAAAUUCGUAGAUAUUAGAAAGAAUACCAAUUGCGAAGGCAGCUUUCUGGAUCAUUACUGACACUGAGGAACGAAAGCAUGGGUAGCGAAGAGGAUUAGAUACCCUCGUAGUCCAUGCCGUAAACGAUGUGUGUUAGACGUUGGAAAUUUAUUUUCAGUGUCGCAGGGAAACCGAUAAACACACCGCCUGGGGAGUUCGUCUUCAAGGUUAAAACUCAAAGGAAUUGACGG